GACGAACGCUGGCGGCGUGCUUAACACAUGCAAGUCGAACGGAAAGGCCCUGCUUUUGUGGGGUGCUCGAGUGGCGAACGGGUGAGUAACACGUGAGUAACCUGCCCUUGACUUUGGGAUAACUUCAGGAAACUGGGGCUAAUACCGGAUAGGAGCUCCUGCUGCAUGGUGGGGGUUGGAAAGUUUCGGCGGUUGGGGAUGGACUCGCGGCUUAUCAGCUUGUUGGUGGGGUAGUGGCUUACCAAGGCUUUGACGGGUCGCCGGCCUGAGAGGGUGACCGGCCACAAUGGGACUGCGAUACGGCGCAGACUGCUACGGGAGGCAGCAGUGGGGAAUAUUGCACAAUGGGCGGAAGCCUGAUGCAGCAACGCCGCGUGCGGGAUGACGGCCUUCGGGGUGUAAACCGCUUUCGCCUGUGACGAAGCGUGAGUGACGGUAAUGGGUGAAGAAGCACCGGCUAACUACGUG
rnacentral:rRNA from 1 species